rnacentral:rRNA from 1 species
GUAGAACGGUCCGGCGAGUUGCGUUAUGUUGCGAGGUUAAGUACUGAAGGUACGGAGCCGAAGCGAAAGCGAGUCUGAAGAGGGCGGUAAGUAACAUGACGCAGACCCGAAACCGGGUGACCUAUCCAUGGCCAGGUUGAAGUGGGAGUACAAUCCCAUGGAGGACCGAACCAGACGUCUGUUGAAAAAGGCGGGGAUGAGCUGUGGAUAGCGGAGAAAUUCCAAUCGAACCCGGAGAUAGCUGGUUCUCCUCGAAAUAGCUUUAGGGCUAGCCUCGUAUUAGAUAACUGGAGGUAGAGCACUGAAUGGGCUAGGGGGCCCAAAGCUUACCGAACCCUAUCAAACUUCGAAUGCCAGGAUAUUGAUGUACGGGAGUCAGUCCGCGAGAGAUAAGUUCCGCGGGCAAAAGGGGAACACCCCAGACCUACUGCUAAGGUCCCAAAGUGCGCGUUAAGUGGAGAAGGAUGUGUGAUUGCACAGACAACCAGGAUGUUGGCUCAGAAGCAGCCAUUCAUUCAAAGAGUGCGUAAUAGCUCACUGGUCGAGUGGUCAUGCGCCGAAGAUGUACCGGGGCUCAAACGCGCCACCGAAGCAUGGGAUUCGCGCAAGCGAGUGGUAGAGGAGCAUUGAAUCAGGGCAGAAGCUGGAGCGAGAGCACCAGUGGACUUGAUUCAAGAGAGAAUGCCGGUAUGAGUAGCGAGAGGCAAGCGAGAAACUUGCCCGUCGAAAGCCUAAGGUUUCCUGGGGAAGGUUCAUCCGCCCAGGGUAAGUCGGGACCUAAGCCGAGGACGGAAGUCGUAGGCGAUGGACAGCAGGUUGAGAUUCCUGCACCGCCUUGAGAAUGAUGCAAUGACACAGAAGGAUAGCAUGAGCCGGGUGAUGGUCAACUCGGUUUCCAAAGCGAGGGCGUCUGGUAGUGAAGUACGCUAGACACACAGCCUGAGCCAAAGAGGGAGCGAAAUUCAAGUAGCGAAGCAUGCGAUUUCACGCUGGCGAGAAAAGUUGCUGGUAUAUCGAAGAGGCGCCCGUACCGCAAACCGACGCAGGUAGGCGAGGUGAGAAUCCUAAGACGAACGGGAGAACCCUUGUUAAGGAACUCGGCAAAAUGACCCCGUAACUUCGGGAGAAGGGGUGCCGAUGGAAACAUCGGUCGCAGAGAAAAGGCUCAAGCGACUGUUUAGCAAAAACACAGGUAUCUGCGAAAGCGAGAGCUGACGUAUAGGUGCUGACACCUGCCCGGUGCUGGAAGGUUAAGGGGAAAUGUCAUCGCAAGAGAAGCAUAGAACCGAAGCCCCAGUAAACGGCGGCCGUAACUAUAACGGUCCUAAGGUAGCGAAAUUCCUUGUCGGGUAAGUUCCGACCCGCACGAAUGGUGUAACGAUUUGAGCGCUGUCUCAACAGGGGGCCCGGUGAAAUUGAAGUAUGGGUGAAGAUGCCCAUUACCCGCGACUGGACGGAAAGACCCCGUAGAGCUUGACUGUAGCCUGAUAUUGGAUUUCGGUAACGGAUGCACAGGAUAGGUGGGAGGCUUGGAAGCCAGGACUCCGGUCUUGGUGGAGCCACCGUUGGGAUACCACUCUUCUGUUGCUGGAAUUCUAACAUGGCGCCGUGAAACCGGUGAAUGGACAGUGUCAGGUGGGCAGUUUGACUGGGGCGUUCGCCUCCGAAAGAGUAACGGAGGCGCCCAAAGGUACCCUCAGAAUGGAUGGAAACCAUUCAAAGAGUGUAAAGGCAGAAGGGUGCUUGACUGUGAGAGUGACAACUCGAUCAGAUACGAAAGUAGGGCUUAGUGAUCCGGCGGUAUUGAGUGGAAAAGCCGUCGCUUAACGGAUAAAAGCUACCUCGGGGAUAACAGGCUGAUCU